AUGCUUACCUGGCAAGGAAGAUACCAUGACCACGAAGGUGGUGUUCCCAGGAUGAGGCGUGUCCAUCGCACUCUGGAUGUGCUGACCCCUGCGAUUUCCCCAAAUGUGGGAAACUCGACUGCAUAAUUUGUGGUACUGGAGACUGCAGUUGCACUUUGCC